rnacentral:rRNA from 1 species
UACGGGGGGGGCAAGCGUUGUUCGGAAUUACUGGGCGUAAAGGGCUCGUAGGCGGCCAACUAAGUCAGACGUGAAAUCCCCAGGCUCAACCUGGGAACUGCGUCUGAUACUGGAUGGCUUGAAUCCGGGAGAGGGAUGCAGAAUUCCAGGUGUAGCGGUGAAAUGCGUAGAUAUCGUGAGGAACACCAGAGGCGAAGGCGGCUACCUGGACAAUUGCUGACGCUCAGGCACGAAAGCGUGGGGAGCAAAAGGG